UUUGUGGCAGACGGGUGAGUAAUGCAUAGGAAUCUACCUGGUAGUAUGGGAUAGCCACUAGAAAUGGUGGGUAAUACUGUAUAAUCCCUGCGGGGGAAAGAUUUAUCGCUAUUAGAUGAGCCUAUGUUAGAUUAGCUAGUUGGUAGGGUAAAGGCCUACCAAGGCAGUGAUCUAUAGCUGGUCUGAGAGGAUGAUCAGCCACACUGGAACUGAGAUACGGUCCAGACUCCUACGGGAGGCAGCAGUGGGGAAUAUUGGACAAUGGGCGCAAGCCUGAUCCAGCUAUGCCGCGUGAGUGAGGAAGGGCUCACGGUUUU
rnacentral:rRNA from 1 species